rnacentral:ribozyme from 1 species
GCUCAACAUGAAAAAAGUUAGACAAGAUCCAACAACCAACCAUCAUCGGAUUCUCUCGACCUCGGCCACCAUAUGGCAGUCCGCAUGGUGAAUUUUCAUGGCGCCCCACGGAUGAUUUGGAGCAUGUUAUUGA